rnacentral:lncRNA from 1 species
UGGAGCCCAGCACUGCUCCAUGUCAGUGCAGAGCCAGCCCCAGCUGCUCCAGAAGGGACCCCCAGCCUGAGCUGAGCCUGGUGGUAAUUGCUGACAUCAAACCAAAAGUCAAAACAUUAUUCUGACUGAAUCAAUGCAUCAUGUCCUGUGGCUGCCUGCAAUGUGAUUGUGUACCCCCGUGCGACCCAUGACAAGUCUGGCUUGUUUUGCAGUGUGGUAACGCACACGUCUGGUAUUGAGACUGAUGAAAUCACAGCCUUGCUUCUUCCCCAGGCUGUGCUCUCUUUUAAAAAGAUUUCAUUGUGUCACAAUACUAGAAGUAAAUAUACUUGUGUCUUAAUCACCAUCUAGCAGCUGCUUUCUCCAUCCUCUGCUGCGGAUGAUCAGACAUUUGCUGAUACUCUUCCAUUUGUAUAGUGCUUAAUUGUCACUUUAUGUUGUGAUGUUUGUCUUGGGAUUUCCUAAUGGGAAGAGGUCCCUCCCAAAGGCGAUGUUUCUUGUUAAGCUGAACAUUAGAGAAACAAGGAAAUGUCCUCCUUGUGUUGUUCUCAGGUAAAGUUUUUUUUUUUUUUUUCUAGCUGCUUUGGGACUGCACGCUGCAAAAAGCAGGCCAAACCUUCAAACCGUUUCCUUCUGUGACUCAUAAUGAAGGAGGUAUGCUGCAAACCCCAUGCAGCAGGGUGUGACUCUAUGGCAAACGUGUUCGUACAGGACCUCACUGAGCGCUUUUAAAACACUCUGCUUAUUUCUGUCGAAGUAAUGAAUGUGUUCUGUAAGUAAAAAUGCUCCUGAGCUACCAGUUUUCAUGUUAAAUAUUUUGGUUUUAAAAGGUCCACUACCUAAAUAAAAUUCCAGACACGUUUAUUGAAAACAAUGUUCUCUCUUUUUCUUUUCUUUUUUUCUUUUUUUUUUUUU